UACGUAGGGGGCUAGCGUUGUCCGGAAUCAUUGGGCGUAAAGAGCGUGUAGGCGGCCCGGUAAGUCCGCUGUGAAAGUCGGGGGCUCAACCCUCGAAUGCCGGUGGAUACUGUCGGGCUAGAAUCCGGAAGAGGCGAGUGGAAUUCCUGGUGUAGCGGUGAAAUGCGCAGAUAUCAGGAGGAACACCGAUGGCGAAGGCAGCUCGCUGGGACGGUAUUGACGCUGAUGCGCGAAAGCCAGGGGAGCAAACGGG
rnacentral:rRNA from 1 species